rnacentral:rRNA from 1 species
UGGGGAAUUUUGGACAAUGGGCGAAAGCCUGAUCCAGCAAUGCCGCGUGUGUGAAGAAGGCCUUCGGGCUGUAAAGCACUUUUUGUCCGGAAAGAAAUCCUUGGCUCUAAUACAGUCGGGGGAUGACGGUACCGGAAGAAUAAGCACCGGCUAACUACGUGCCAGCAGCCGCGGUAAUACGUAGGGUGCAAGCGUUAAUCGGAAUUACUGGGCGUAAAGCGUGCGCAGGCGGUUUGCUAAGACCGAUGUGAAAUCCCCGGGCUCAACCUGGGAACUGCAUUGGUGACUGGCAGGCUAGAGUAUGGCAGAGGGGGGUAGAAUUCCACGUGUAGCAGUGAAAUGCGUAGAGAUGUGGAGGAAUACCGAUGGCGAAGGCAGCCCCCUGGGCCAAUACUGACGCUCAUGCACGAAAAGCGUGGGGGAGCAAAACAGGAUUAGAUACCCCUGGGUAGUCCACGCCCCUAAAACGAUGUCAACUAGUUGUUGGGGACUUCAUUUCCUUAGUAACGUAGCUAACGCGUGAAGUUGACCGCCUGGGGGAGUACGGUCGCAAGAUUAAAAA